CACGUAGGGUGCGAGCGUUUGUCCGGAAUUAUUGGGCGUAAAGAGCUCGUAGGCGGUGUGUCGCGUCGGCCGUGAAAACCUGCAGCUUAACUGUGGGCGUGCGGUCGAUACGGGCAUCACUGGAGUUCGGCAGGGGAGACUGGAAUUCCUGGUGUAGCGGUGAAAUGCGCAGAUAUCAGGAGGAACACCGGUGGCGAAGGCGGGUCUCUGGGCCGAUACUGACGCUGAGGCGCGAAAGCGUGGGGAGCAAACAGG
rnacentral:rRNA from 1 species